rfam:Pantoea stewartii subsp. stewartii DC283 WGS_Sequence27, whole genome shotgun sequence.
GGUGAGGUGGCCGAGAGGCUGAAGGCGCUCCCCUGCUAAGGGAGUAUACGGUCAAAAGCUGUAUCGAGGGUUCGAAUCCCUCCCUCACCG